rnacentral:lncRNA from 1 species
CCAAUACAAAUAUUGUAUUAUGUAACUCGCUAAAGAGUUAGUGAGUUAAAGGAGGAUUAAUUAGUAAUUGAAUUGCUAAGUGACUCAAUUUGAUUGAGCUAUGGGACUUGCAUCAAGUCUAAUUAAAUUAAAUUUAAUUUGACUUGACAUGGGUUUGAUUUGAUCAAACCUGAUUGGAUUAUAAGAUAAUCCAAAUUGUAUGGGAGAAUCAUUCCUAUUUGAAUUAAGAUUUGGGUUUGACCCAAUUCCUAAUUAGACUAGGAUGCAUGAGUUCUUAUUUGGAUUAGAAAUUUUUAUUUUCAUGGGUGUAUCAAAUUCUAAUUGGAUUAGGAUUAAAUUGAGUUUGACUCAAACAUCAAGCAAGAGUCUAAAAGAACUAGGACUCCUCCAAUUAGGUGACAUCUAAUCUAAAUAGUUUGGGUUCUAAAUCAGAUUUGGUUCUCUAUCUAUUUGGGUCUAAUCUGGUCCUAAUAUGAUUAGGAUUGAUUAGAGUUUUUAUUUGAUUUAAAACAGCCACCUAAUCUAAGAGUCUCAUGGGAUUAAAAUUCUUCCUUUCAUGCACCAACUAAGUCCCACACCACAAUCAGUUUGGAUGCCACCUCUCCACCUCUUCUUAACGUGUAAGAAAGAAAAGAAAUCUCCUUAAUCACCGUGUGAAACCUGGGCACACAAGGAGAGGUAUGGGCGGCACAAAAUAAGCUAGAGUCCUAGGUAUUUUGGACUCCCAUCUCUUAAUCAAAAUCAAACUCUCUUAUGCCUAUUUAAACCAUGGACUUGUGGGAUGUGUAUGACCAGAGAAGGGAUCAGGUUUGAUGCCCAAAAAGGAGGAGUGUGUGCAUGAAAAAUCAAGGGAGAAAAAUGAGGGACGGCGUGAAGAUGUGGGCAUGAGGUAAUGUAGUCCAUAUCUCUUCUUUCUUGCAACAAUUAAAAGUUGAUUGUUAGAAUAUCUCUUCUCUCUCUUUUUGUCCAUAUUUAGACAUGGAUGUCUCCUCUUCUCUUUGUCCAAAAGUUUGACAAAAUUUCUACAUCUUUAUUAUAAAAAUUUGGUGCAUGAAUUUUAGGAAGAAAAGAGAAGAAAAGAUUCUUCUCAUGAUCGUUAGCAUAGAGAUCAAUAUCCUCCUACUUCUUCUUCUUCUUUAAGAGUGUCUUGAGAGAAAAGAAGAUUUUCAGCCGUCAAGAUGCGAUCUCUGCAAGGGAGCUAGCACUCCGAUGAGAUUAAACGACUUUUGAUUAGAUCA